rnacentral:lncRNA from 1 species
AUGCAUCUGGCCUCGCUUAGAGGUUUGGUGGUGAUUUUACUCACUGUUUCGUGUGGUGCUGCUGAAUGUAGCUGGCCAAGUGACCUGCAACGGAGGAGACACAGGGCUUCAGAUGACAAAAUGAAGCCCAAUUCCCAGCCUUUCCUAGGACAGCACAUCAGAAUCUCCCUUGUUGUGGAUUUCAGACCUCGAGUGUACAGCUCCCCAUCUGGACUCUCGUGAAAGUCAUGGUAAACAACACACAGAGCAUCCCUUUGUCAUGGGUUCAGCUCCCUCCCUCACCGCGCCCCGCCAGCCUCUAGCAGCACAUCUGCAGUGGACAAUGAGUCUCAUUUCACAUUUUGGCUCUGAAGUAGACAUCAUCAUGGGGAAGGAAUACACGCCCCUAGGAUAAUAAACAAGGGACUGUUCAAGAACAAAUAUCAAAAUAAAGACAAAAGGAAAGAGAAGCUGUUUGUCUCUCUGUUCUUCCAGUUUUCCGGCAUUUCUUCACGGGCUUCAUGAAAAGCCCCAGUUCCAUCUACUGUAAUGUUUUCCAACUUCAAAGGCUUCUCUGGUAUAAAAUUUGCUUUCUACAGCAUGUCUGUCCUGUUGAGCUAUAUCCAAUGACCCCAGACAAAGGACAGCAGCGUACAGGGAGGACGUUGCUGCUGGGGUCACCGGCAGGGUGAGCCCAGAGUGGCCGGGCGAGGCUAGAGUGGAGUCCAAGCAGAGCCGUGGCGCCUGCUCCUGCUGUUGGAGGAGUCAGUGUUGUGGGGUGACACUUGAAAGUCAGGUGUUACAGGAUGGUUGUGGGGAGUCCAGCAACACAGAGAAGGGAGAAGAGUCAAAGCAUGCUCCCAGGGGGUCCUCCCAAAGCACUGCCUCCCAUGUGGGCAGCUCCCUUCUCCUCCCCACCCACAGGGCUUCUGGAAGGUCUCCUGUAGAGCCUACCUUUCCCUGAGUUGGUCCUUAUUCACCUGAGUCUUAGGAACUCAGAGC